UUUCCGUAGGUGAACCUUGCGGAAGGAUCAUU
rnacentral:rRNA from 2 species